GGUCUAUUAGUCUAGUUGGUUAGGACGUCGGAUUCUGAUGAGCAUCGACUUCAGACAUCUUCCGUAGGCCCAGGUUCGAAUCCUGGAUGGACCU
rnacentral:tRNA from 1 species